rnacentral:rRNA from 1 species
GACGAACGCUGGCGGCGUGCCUAACACAUGCAAGUCGAACGAAGUGGCGAACGUGUGUGUAACGCGUAAUCAACCUGCCCUUCAGAGGGGGACAACAGUUGGAAACGACUGCUAAUACCGCAUACUGAAGGUGGUGAUUGCGUCUGUUUCGCUAGUUGGAGGGGUAACGGCCCACCAAGGCGAUGAUCAGUAGCCUGUCUGUGAGGGUGACAGGCCAAAAUGGGGCCGGGACACGGCCCAGACUCCGACGGGAAGCAACAGUGGGGAAACUUCCGAAAUGGAGGGAAGUCGGACGGGGCAACGCCGCGUGAGUGGUAAAAGCCUUCGGGUUGGAAAGCUCUGUUAAUCGGGGCGCGGUACCGGAAUAGAAAGCCACGGCUAACUACGUGCCAGCAGCCGCGGUAAUAC